rnacentral:rRNA from 1 species
UACGUAGGGCGCAAGCGUUGUCCGGAAUUAUUGGGCGUAAAGAGCUCGUAGGCGGCCUGUUGCGUCCGCUGUGAAAUCCCCGGGGCUUAACCCCGGGCGUGCAGUGGAUACGGGCAGGCUGGAGGCAGGCAGGGGAGAACGGAAUUCCCGGUGUAGCGGUGAAAUGCGCAGAUAUCGGGAGGAACACCGGUGGCGAAGGCGGUUCUCUGGGCCUGUACUGACGCUGAGGAGCGAAAGCGUGGGGAGCGAACAGG